GCGCGGGUGGCGAAAUUGGUAGACGCGCUGUCUUGAGGGGGCAGUGCCGCAAGGCGUAAGAGUUCGAGUCUCUUUCCGCGCA
rnacentral:tRNA from 1 species